rnacentral:ncRNA from 1 species
CCCCGACAAGGGCAAACCCAUCGAAAGGUGGGGGCGCAAAGCUAUAGGGUCUAAGGCCAGAUGUUUCUGGCUAUGACAGCCAGCUGCCGUG